UUUUAGGUGGUAAAAAAUUGUCUCUUGAUUGUGUUACGAGGUGGAACUCUACGUUUUUUAUGCUUCAAACUGCCAUAGAAUAUAAGGAUGUCUUCUCUCGUUUGAAAAUCUGUGAAAGUCAAUACAAGAGUUGUGUACAGGACAGUGAUUGGGAGGUAGCCAAAGAAGUAUGUGAGAGGUUGGAUGUUUUUUAUAAGGCCACAGAGGUGUUUAGUGGGAUAAAGUUCCAACAUCGAACUUGUUUUUUGCAAAGGUUUGUAGGAUAAAAAUGGCAUUAACAGAAUGGGCAAAGUUGUAUGAAAGUAAUGAGAUGGAAGAUCUUUACAAAAAGAUAAAAUGGGAGAUGAUGAGAGAUAUGGCAGCACAAAUGAUUAAGAAAUAUGAUAAGUACUGGACAAUAAUUCAUAGUAUUUUGGGUGUUGCGGCGGUGUUAGAUCCUAGGUUCAAGAUGAAGUUGGUAGAAUAUUAUUUCAAUCAGAUCUAUGGGGAGGAUGCUAUUUUUGAGAUUGAGAAGGUUCACAAUUAUUGUAAGGAGCUACUUAAGGUGUAUGAAGUGAAACUUAACAUGGUGGCAUUGCUUCUUCAUGCCAAGUUGAGUCUACUAUGGAAGUUGAUGAUGAUUUAUCUAACUUUGAUGUAUUUGUUACAAGUAAUCAGACAAGCCAAGUUUCAGCUAAAAAGGUCAGAAUUAGAUCGUUAUUUGGAAGAGGAUGUGAUACCGGGAGCUAAUCAAGACUUUGAUGUUUUAGCUUGGUAGAAAAAUGACAUGAAGUUUCCAACUUUGAGGGUCAUUGCUAAGGAUGUGUUAUCUAUACCUGUUUCUACUGUUGCGUUCGAGUCUGCUUUCAGCACUAGUGGGAUGGUUGUGACUCCACAUCGUAGUAGGCUCCAUCCCAAGACAAUAGAAGCAUUGAUGUGCACUCGUAGUUGGUUAUUGGCUCAUGAAUCUAAAGGUAAUAAUUCAAAUGAGUUUGCAUCGGUUCUUGAUGACAUGGAUGUUGAUAGCUCUCAGUCUUGUGUUACAAUGGUUAAAGACUGAUUUGGCAUUUUUGCAUUGAAACGGCUGAGCUUUGUGGAUUGGAAUGGCUCACUUUUGCACAGAAGUUGGAAAAAUUGUCUACGAGUUUUUUGGGGUUUUAUUUUGGAUGAACUUAUUGAAAUUCCUAGUUUUAUUUUCGAUGAACUUGUUGCAAGAUCAUUUCUCAGUUGUUGUUUGUUAUUAUGCUCGAACACUUUCAGGUAGCUAGUUGCUUAUGGAUGAA